rnacentral:rRNA from 1 species
AUGGGCAUUCUUGCCACGCCCAAGUCCCCUCCUCCCAGGCCGCCUACGGCUCGCCGGAAGACCCUUGCGGGUGUCAAGAUCUCCAACAAGGGGGGCCUCUCUCUGCAGAAAAUCAAACGUGCAGGCUCCCAGGCGGCGCUUCCUGCAGCCAAGGCGGCGGAGAAGCUCGUUUGCCGGUCCCUGGGGAUUAUCAGAGAUGGAGAGGAUGUAACAGAGGCCACACUUGCUGAUUUCACUGCCAAGAUCAAAGAGCAGCUUGCCCCUGAGCUGAUUAUGGCCAUGAGGGACUUCUUCCACCUCGACUACUCAGCUGUAAACAGUGUCGAGGACGCGCUGAUUGAUCAUGGUGGCGAGGGAGCUCUGGAGAUGACCCAGGAUGUUGGUGCGGCUCAGCCGAGCCUGGGAUCACAGUAG